rnacentral:tRNA from 1 species
GCUGGGGUAGCUCAGUUGGUAGAGCAAUGCACUCGUAACGCAUAGGUCAUAAGUUCGAUCCUUGUCCCCAGCA